UGGGGAAUAUUGGACAAUGGGCGCAAGCCUGAUCCAGCCAUGCCGCGUGAGUGAUGAAGGCCCUAGGGUUGUAAAGCUCUUUCACCGGUGAAGAUAAUGACGGUAACCGGAGAAGAAGCCCCGGCUAACUUCGUGCCAGCAGCCGCGGUAAUACGAAGGGGGCUAGCGUUGUUCGGAUUUACUGGGCGUAAAGCGCACGUAGGCGGACUUUUAAGUCAGGGGUGAAAUCCCGGGGCUCAACCCCGGAACUGCCUUUGAUACUGGAAGUCUUGAGUAUGGUAGAGGUGAGUGGAAUUCCGAGUGUAGAGGUGAAAUUCGUAGAUAUUCGGAGGAACACCAGUGGCGAAGGCGGCUCACUGGCCCAUUACUGACGCUGAGGUGCGAAAGCGUGGGGAGCAAACAGG
rnacentral:rRNA from 1 species